rnacentral:rRNA from 1 species
UGCGUAGGCGGCUGGGUAAGUCGCGUGUGAAAGCCCGGGGCUCAACCCCGGAGCUGCAUGCGAGACUGCCCGGCUCGAGCGCGGUAGAGGCGGGCGGAAUUCCUGGUGUAGCGGUGGAAUGCGUAGAGAUCAGGAAGAACACCGGUGGCGAAGGCGGCUCGCUGGGCCGUUGCUGACGCUGAGGCACGAAAGCGUGGGGAGCAAACAGGAUUAGAUACCCUGGUAGUCCACGCCCUAAACGAUGGACACUAGGCGUCGGGGGGAGCGACCCUCCCGGUUCCGUCGCUAACGCAAUAAGUGUCCCGCCUGGGGAGUACGGCCGCAAGGCUGAA